UCCAUAUCUGCGAGCUUCCGAGUUUUUCUUCGUCCUUCGUCGGUCUCUCAUGGUGAAGUCACACCUUGCAGUCGCCUUGGAUGCAAUUUUGUCCUCGUCCCUCUUCGAGAUCGCACGUAUCGAGAUAAGAGCGAGUAAUCGUGUUUUUGCGAGUACCAUGUUGAAGCAACCAAGGACGAACAAAAGAAAAGGAAGAGAAGUCUGGAGAGGCAACGAUAAAGCAAUCCUGGGGGAUGAUACCAGGCAAUCAGCUGAGCUUUCGAUCCCGCCGUUAUGACGUAGAUGAAGAUAGUAGUGGUGAUCCGCUGUUGUCGCAGUGAGUCAGUAUUUGGACAAGAGCCCCGCGCUCAUUGCCAGCGUGCGAUUCUACUUUCACCAGCUUACACCCCAGGACAUCGUCUUUUGCAACCGGCGCGCGCUCGUCCAUCAGCUGUGCUCAACUGAAAACGUCGGGAUUUCCCGUAGAAAUCGUCGUAACACGAAGAACAAUUGACAGGCAAAUAUGUGGAGACGCUAUAGCGAUGCGGUUUUGCCACCAAAUUUUUAUUAUAAUAUUAAUUAUUAUUAUUUUAUUUUAUUUUUCUAUUAUUGUGACUAUUAGUCACAUGAUGAAUCCUCUGAGAUUACAUAAUCACGAAAAGACGCAUGUUAAAAAUUAAAUUGUAUAGUCGACACUCUUCUGCAAUCUUUGUAUCAAUUUUAAUGAAAUGUUGUAGCAAGAUUUUGUAUACAUUCGAAAAAGAGAGAAGCAUUUCGAGAUAACAUCCAUGAAUUUCAACUCGUAGUCACUUUUAAUGCAUCGUCAAUUUAUUUUAUUAUGUCGAAGUCGAUCGAGAAGCGUCGACCGAAUUAAUAUGUGCAACUUCCUUGCAUCCAUCGAUUUUCUCUCUCUCUCUCUCUCUUCAUCAUUGGAUAUCCUUCCUCGGUGCUCCGAUCAAAGACCCUCGGGCCAUGGUAUAGAUGUUGCAGAGCGGAUCGCAGGCUAGCGCGCGCGCGCGCAAUGGCGCACAUAUACAUAUAUAUAUAUAUAUGCACACAUAGACACAUGCGCAAUACACCCACCGUCAUCUCGCGUACCUGCCGGGAAUAGAUUAGCCAUGUGUUGGCGCAUUGUCGUAGGGACACAUGUAGGCUCUAAGUAGAUUGCGUGUGUUAGUUGCGCAAACAUGUCUGCAGCGUUGUCAGGCGGGCAGGAAAUUACGUCCGCCUUUAGCCGCUCUCUAUAUUACGCCACCCCCUGGGUACACCCGCUCACACACACACACACACACACACGUAACCCUUGCCUGUCGUCAUCCCGCAGAGAGACGCACACAUAUACAUCACACCUACAUCUGUGUACGUGUAUGCGCGCGGGCGCGCAACACCACCCGGUCUAAGGACGAGGCGGCCUCGUCGUAUAGGUACGUAUCUACCCUAUACCUACCUACCUGAGCUGAAGAUACGUGUGUACAUAAGCGGCGUGUGUACCGCGCGGUAUGGCAGAGAUACCUCGGGCUAACAAUAAUGCGACUAGUUGCAAAUGGGACGGAUACCCGUAUACCUGCCGACGUGACGACGUGUAAGAUGACAGCGGCUGUGUGUGACGUCCGUCGCCUCGAGAUCCCGCGAGAUCGCGGCCACGUGGGCGUGAAGCGUCAUUAGCGCUAGAUAUCAUUCCGCGAUACUGUCGAACGCGUCUCGCGAAAACGCUGAUAACAUACUGGCUCGACAAAAAAAAAUGACUUUUUUUCCAACACCGGAACGAGACUAAUUGUUUCUUAUAGUUUUUUUGUGCUGAAUACGAAUCCGAUUUCCAAAUUGCUCACGUCACAUUUUUAAUUUAAGUUGCAAAAAGGGUAUUUUCACGAACUUUGUCAUAUUAUAACUAGAAUAUGUGGCGUGCUGGAGAAAUUUUAUUGCAAUUAAAAUAAAGUAUGUUGUUAGGACUUUUAACCCUUAAAAGGAAUUUCGGGUGUUAUUUAUGGUUAAUAAAAUAUCUAUGGUUAAAUAUGAGCUGUGUUGCAAAAGUUUGCUAUGACAGCUUAUUACAGUUAAAUCGUUGACGAAACUAUAAGAAACGACUAGUCUCGUCAUGGUUAAUUUUUUUUGUUGAACAAUGAUAAUAAUCGCGCGAAUGGAAGGCGAAUGUAGCACGAUGAUGCCGAUAGCGAAGUUAAACUUAAAUGUCGCUAUUAAACGAAACGGGGAACGCGUCUUCAAAUACCGUAAAAAUUGCGUUUAUCAGUCCAUCGCGAGUCACCUUCUUCACUCUAUUCAAAUUACAUUGUAAACGUCUAUACGGAUAUUAGAUACACGUGUUUGCCUGGGAAUAUCAGACGUCAAUACUAAUUGCCCGACACAAUCGAUAGCGUCGCAGAAAAUGCAAUUUUUUAUUAACGCUCUGUCUACGUCGUUUUUGUUUUCAGGGAUAUCGAUUUUUUUUAUUAAUCAGUCAGAAUAACAUCAGAUAUAAUGUCGUUUUUCGCGAAGAUGACUGCGAAUCACGGCGGAUUUUCGCAGGUGCUCGAAAAGAUGGGCAUUUCUGUCCGUCUUCCGUGGUCUACCCUUAUGUAUCCGCAUCGCCGGUGCCUGCCAUUGAAUCAUUGGACACUUAUACCGAGCUCGCACGGGCCCGUCCAAACAUUUCGGACAGCCUAAGGAAACACAUUUGCCUGCGAGCAAACACGCCGCGGCGAGUCGCGUCUUGUCGCAGCAGCCUCCGGCACCAAAGUGGAACGCGGAAUGUGUCUGGGACUCUGUUUGCACUGCAGGACAAUAUUCCGCGUCUUUCAAAGGGCACGAGAGGAAAGAGAGAGCGCGGUAUUAUUGCGUCUUUCGCGUUUGCGCGAC